GUAUUACUAAGCGGAGGAAAAGAAAUUAACUAAGAUUGCCUUAGUAAGGGCGACUGAACCGGCAAAAGCUCGAAAUUAAAAUCGGAAAUUCAAUGAAUUUUCGAAUUGUAAUCAGGGUGCCCAAAAUACGGGAGGUCACUCAAGAGUCUCGAAAGGCUCGCCAAAGAGGGUGAAAGCCCCGUGCAGUGAUCUCUCGAACGUGGGAACUCGAACAAGAGUCGUGUUGCUUGGAACUGCAGCACUAAGUGGGAGAUAUGAUUCUUCCAAAGCUAAAUAUUGGCCCGAGACCGAUAGCGCACAAGUA
rnacentral:rRNA from 1 species